GGUUAAGUGACUAAGCGUAUACGGUGGAUGCCUAGGCAGUCAGAGGCGAAGAAGGACGUGCUAAUCUGCGAAAAGCGUCGGUUAGCUGAUAUGAAGCAUUAUAAACCGGCGAUAUCCGAAUAGGGAAACCUGAUGUAGUUUAUUACAUCAUCGUCAAAUAAAUUAAUAGUUUGUCGAGGCAAACCAGGGGAAUUGAAACAUCUCAGUACCCUGAGGAAAAGAAAUCAAUUGAGAUUCCCUUAGUAGCGGCGAGCGACCAGGGAAGAGCCCAGAGACAUCAUCAGCUAGUUUGUUAAGAGAACGGUCUGGAAAGUCCGGUAAUAAAGGGUGAUAGCCCCGUAUCUAAAAACAAUUUUAUCUGUAUGCUCGAUGAGUAGGACGGGACACGUGUUAUCCUGUCUGAACAUGGGGGGACCAUCCUCCAAGGCUAAAUACUCCUGACUGACCAAUAGUGAACUAGUACCGUGAGGGAAAGGUGAAAAGAACCCCGGUGAGGGGAGUGAAAUAGAUCCUGAAACCGUAUACGUACAAGCAGUGGGAGCAUCUCUUAUGAUGUGACUGCGUACCUUUUGUAUAAUGGGUCAGCGACUUAUAUUCUGUAGCAAGGUUAACUGUAUAAGGGAGCCGUAGGGAAACCGAGUCUUAAUUGGGCGUUUAGUUGCAGGAUGUAGACCCGAAACCCGGUGAUCUAGCUAUGAGCAGGUUGAAAAUUAGGUAACACUAAUUGAAGGACCGAACCGACUAAUGUUGAAAAAUUAGCGGAUGACUUGUGGCUAGGGGUGAAAGACCAAUCAAACCGGGAGAUAGCUGGUUCUCCCCGAAAGCUAUUUAGGUAGCGCCUCGUGAAUUCAUCUAUGGAGGUAGAGCUCUGUUUUGGCUAGGGACCUAUCCAGGGUUACCAACCCAAUGCAAACUACGAAUACCGUAGAAUGUUACCACGGGAGACACACGGCGGGUGCUAACGUCCGUCGUGAAAAGGGAAACAACCCAGACCGCCAGCUAAGGUCCCUAAGUUAUGGUUAAGUGGAAAACGAUGUGGGAAGGCAUAGACAGCCAGGAUGUUGGCUUAGAAGCAGCCAUCAUUUAAAGAAAGCGUAAUAGCUCACUGGUCGAGUCGGCCGGCGCGGAAGAUGUAACGGGGCUAAACCAUACACCGAAGCUGCGGCAGCGGGCAUAUUGCUUAAAUAAAUUUAUAAUUAUUUAUUUAUAUAAAUAACUGACUUAAGUUGAUUUAAGCAAUAUGCCCGCUGGGUAGGGGAGCGUUCUGUAAGCCUGAGAAGGUGCGUUGUAAAAUGUGCUGGAGGUAUCAGAAGUGCGAAUGCUGACAUAAGUAACGAUAAAGUGGGUGAAAAACCUACUCGCCGGAAGACCAAGGAUUCCUGUUCAAUGUUAAUCAGAGCAGGGUGAGUCGACCCCUAAGGCGAGGUCGAAAGGCGUAGUCGAUGGGCAACAGGUUAAUAUUCCUGUACUUAGUGUGACUGCGAAGGGGGAACGGAGAAAGCUAAAUUCGCCGAGCGACGGUUGUCUCGGUUUAAGCGUAUAGGUGAAAAAAACAGGCAAAUCCGUUUUUUUUAAUAACACUGAGGCGUAACGACGAACCAUUACGGUGGUGAAGGAAUUAAUGCUAUGCUUCCAGGAAAAGCCUCUAAGCUACAGGUUACAUUAAAUCGUACCCUAAACCGACACAGGUGGUCAAGUAGAGCAUACUUAGGCGCUUGAGAGAACUCGGGUGAAGGAACUAGGCAAAAUAGUGCCGUAACUUCGGGAGAAGGCACGCUGGCAUGUAGGUGAAGGGACAAGCUCCCUGAGCUGAAGCCAGUCGCAGAUACCAGCUGGCUGCAACUGUUUAUUAAAAACACAGCACUGUGCAAACACGAAAGUGGGCGUAUACGGUGUGACGCCUGCCCGGUGCCGGAAGGUUAAUUAAUAGGGUUAUCCUUAUUAGGAAAAGCUCUUGAUCGAAGCCCCGGUAAACGGCGGCCGUAACUAUAACGGUCCUAAGGUAGCGAAAUUCCUUGUCGGGUAAGUUCCGACCUGCACGAAUGGCGUAAUGAUGGCCAGACUGUCUCCACCCGAGACUCAGUGAAAUUGAAAUCGCCGUGAAGAUGCGGUGUACCCGCGGCAAGACGGAAAGACCCCGUGAACCUUUACUAUAUCUUGACACUGAAUAUUAAGCUUUGAUGUGUAGGAUAGGUGGGAGGCUGUGAAAUGUAUGCGCGAGUUUACAUAGAGCCAUUCUUGAAAUACCACCCUUUAAUGUUGAAUAUUCUAACUCAGUCCCGUAAUCCGGGACGAAGACAGUGUCUGGUGGGUAGUUUGACUGGGGCGGUCUCCUCCUAAAGAGUAACGGAGGAGCACUAAGGUUAGCUAAUCACGGUCGGAAAUCGUGAGUUUAGUGUAAAGGCAUAAGCUAGCUUGACUGUAAGAGUGACGGCUCGAGCAGGUGCGAAAGCAGGUCUUAGUGAUCCGGUGGUUCUGAAUGGAAAGGCCAUCGCUCAACGAAUAAAAGGUACUCCGGGGAUAACAGGCUAAUACCGCCCAAGAGUUCAUAUCGACGGCGGUGUUUGGCACCUCGAUGUCGGCUCAUCACAUCCUGGGGCUGCAGUAGGUCCCAAGGGUAUGGCUGUU
rnacentral:rRNA from 1 species